rnacentral:lncRNA from 1 species
CUCCCGCUCCAAGCCGGCUUUGGCCGCCCGGCAGCAACCGCAGCGGCGAGCCUGGGCGGCCGCUUUGGCAACGCAGUGCCCACACCGGGCGCCGACCCAGCAGCACCGAACGGGGAGAGAAAGAUGCCCUGGACAUCAUUCCGAACAGCACAAUUCAAGGCUCUUGGGUAACCCCCUCCCACACCAACUCUGAGUUUGUUUAUGGCUUGUUUUGGACAAUAAGACAUUAGCAAAUGAGAUAUAAGUACAGGCUUGAGAAGUACAUGGGCACUGGGGCUUGCUUGCUGGCUGCUCUGUGGAACCUGAGACUACCACGUGAAGAAGUUCGAAGUGCUAGAGGUUGAGAGAACAUGUGCAGCAAAGAUGAAGCAUCCCAGCUGAGAUUCCCCUAGACCAAUCAGCUUGCCAACUGCCGCAAAAGCGAAUAAAGCCGUCCAAGAGCAUCCAGCUAUAAGGUUGUUUCUUUGGACUAUAUGCCCAGAGGUGAAUUGAAUGAAUCAAAAGCAUUUUAAUCUGUGACUUCAAUCCCUAUAUAGAGAGGGAGCUUGUCAAGUCUGCACAUGAUACACAGCACAGAAGAUACCAGACAACUGAUUAAUAGAUGCAG